rnacentral:rRNA from 1 species
GAUCAUGGCUCAGGAUGAACGCUAGCUACAGGCUUAACACAUGCAAGUCGAGGGGCAGCGCAGUGUAGCAAUACAUGGGCGGCGACCGGCGCACGGGUGCGUAACGCGUAUCCAACCUUCCCGUUACUCUCGGAUAGCCUUCCGAAAGGGAGAUUAAUACGAGAUGGUGUUGAAAUUCCGCAUGUUAUUUCAACUAAAGAUUCAUCGGUAACGGAUGGGGAUGCGUGACAUUAGGUAGAUGGCGGGUAACGGCCCACCAUGCCCACGAUGUCUAGGGGUUCUGAGAGGAAGGUCCCCCACACUGGAACUGAGACACGGUCCAGACUCCUACGGGAGGCAGCAGUGAGGAAUAUUGGUCAAUGGCCGGAAGGCUGAACCAGCCAAGUAGCGUGAAGGAUGAAGGUUCUAUGGAUUGUAAACUUCUUUUAUACGGGAAUAAAACCACCUACGCGUAGGUGCUUGUAUGUACCGUAUGAAUAAGCAUCGGCUAACUCCGUG